UGAGGAAUCUUCCACAAUGGGCGAAAGCCUGAUGGAGCAAUGCCGCGUGCAGGAUGAAGGCCUUCGGGUCGUAAACUGCUUUUAUUUGCGAAGAAUUAGACGGUAACAAAUGAAUAAGGGUCGGCUAACUACGUGCCAGCAGCCGCGGUCAUACGUAGGACCCAAGCGUUAUCCGGAGUGACUGGGCGUAAAGAGUUGCGUAGGUGGUCAAAUAAGCGAAUAGUGAAAUCAGGGGGCUCAACCUCACUGACUGUUAUUCGAACUGUUUGACUCGAGAGUGGUAGAGGUAGCUGGAAUUACUAGUGUAGGAGUGAAAUCCGUAGAUAUUAGUAGGAGCACCAAUGGCGUAGGCAGGCUACUGGACCAUUUCUGACACUGAGGCACGAAAGCGUGGGGAGCGAACCGGAUUAGAUACCCGGGUAGUCCACGCCGUAAACGAUGGAUGUUAACUGUGGGGGGUAUCGACCCCUUCCGUAGUAAAGCUAACGCGUUAAACAUCCCGCCUGUGGAGUACGGCCGCAAGGCUAAAACAUAAAGGAAUUGACGGGGACCCGCACAAGCGGUGGAGCGUGUUCUUUAAUUCGAUGCUAAACGAAGAACCUUACCAGGGUUUGACAUCCUUGGAACUUUGUCGAAAGACAGAGGUGCCUUUUGGAGCCAAGUGACAGGUGUUGCAUGGCCGUCGUCAGCUCGUGUCGUGAGAUGUUUGGUUAAGUCCAUCAACGAGCGCAACCCUUGCGAUUAGUUGUAUUUUUCUAAUCGGACUGCCCCUGUAAGGGGGAGGAAGGAGGGGGAUGAUGUCAGGUCAGUAUUACCCUUACACCCUGGGCUAGGAACGCGCUACAAUGGCUGGUACAACGGGCAGCGAAGCAGUAAUGUGGAGCAAAUCCCAUCAAAACCAGUCCCAGUUCGGAUAGAGGGCUGAAACUCGCCCCUCUUGAAGCCGGAAUCGCUAGUAAUCGCAGAUCAGC
rnacentral:rRNA from 1 species